GCUCCUUCGCUCCCACUUCCCAGAGCUCCUGCACCCUCCGGACCCCGCGGGGGAGUGAGCAGCCUUGGCACCCUGAGUCAGGGAGACAUCUGUGUGCACCUUCUUCCUGAGGGGCUCGGCUACUUUGCUGACCUGGUGACAAAUCCCCUGCAGGGAGGACUGAGGACUGGACGCGCUGCCAGUUUCUGUUCAGGGCUCCCCAGUCUCCACCUAUUUUCCCCAAAGCCCUGCAGCAACCCGGGAAUUCCUGCUCUCCUGAUUACACCGCGGCACACCUGCAGAGGUGAAAAACAGACAUUUUGAUGCAAGGAUCCAAAUCGGAUAAAAAUGGAAGAUUGCGGUUGUACCAGCGUUUGGUUUUCUGCCAAAUUUCUUUACUAUAACCUGCUGGCUGCAGAAAACCACCUGCAACUUCUUGGCAAAGGUGUGGUGGACCUGGGAUGGACAGCGAAACUCCCUACUCCUGGAGAAGGAUCUUCCAGGCUUGCCGGGUGGAGCUGGUGUUUCAGGCACUUUUGUUUCGUCCCAGCCUUGGAACACAAAGCGGAUACUCUUCAGGGGACAGCAUCCUCCUUAAUCAGACCUGCACAGUAGCUUGGGUCCUGACUGCUGUGAGUUGGUUUGUGAACAAGCCACCGCUUGUUCAAACAUGCUGGUACUGAAAAUCCUA